AUUGAACGCUGGCGGAAUGCUUUACACAUGCAAGUCGAACGGUAGAGGGGCAACCCUUGAGAGUGGCGAACGGGUGAGUAAUGUAUCGGAACAUGCCCAGUCGUGGGGGAUAACGUAGCGAAAGUUACGCUAAUACCGCAUACGAUCUAUGGAUGAAAGCGGGGGAUCGCAGGACCUCGCGCGAUUGGAGUGGCCGAUAUCAGAUUAGGUAGUUGGUGGGGUAAGGGCCUACCAAGCCGACGAUCUGUAGCUGGUCUGAGAGGACGACCAGCCACACUGGGACUGAGACACGGCCCAGACUCCUACGGGAGGCGGCGGUGGGGAAUUUUGGACAAUGGGCGCAAGCCUGAUCCAGCCAUUCCGCGUGCAGGAAGAAGGCCUUCGGGUUGUAAACUGCUUUUGUACGGAACGAAACGCGCUGAGCUAAUACCUCGGCGUAAUGACGGUACCGUAAGAAUAAGCACCGGCUAACUACGUGCCAGCCGCCGCGGUAAGAC
rnacentral:rRNA from 1 species